GCAACUGACAAUCGAUACACCUAUUCAGCAGACACGUCGGGUAAACCCCUACCUAUGACUCGUGACCUCUGACACCCUGAAUACAUUGUUUGAGAUGUUGUUAGUCUUGUUCCCAGCUAGUCAGCAAAGAGUUGCGACGAGAGUAGGAUCGAUGUAAAGCCCCGCAGAGAGAUACCCACCAGCGGGUAGGAUAAACAGACCAACGUGACAGUAGAUCGACGUAGAAACAGGCACUUAAGUUACUGAGGAGGCAACGGAGGUGUUCCAAAGAGUUCCCCAAAGCGCCUGAGGAUGGCCACUGUGGGGGUUUUAGUCGUUUUCAGUGAUGGGAAUCGAAGCAAGACUUUAUUGGGAAGCGACAUCGGAAGGAAAUUUCACUACGAUCCAAAAUUACACUCACUAGGAAACGUCGAGAGGUAUCACAACCUCAACUCCACAACUACGAUGAAAGCGUAUUAAGGGG